CCCCUUACUUCCCUAUAUAAACCUCUAGCCGUCCAAACAAUGUCAGACAUUGCUGGACGGCAGAGGUACUAGUGACAUGUCUGGUGGCCACACUGAGCGCUUGUCUCUUAUUGGAGCUCUGCUAGCUCUCUACUGACACCUCUGGCCAAAUUUAAUAUGACACAUUUCUGCUAACCUCAGGUUUUUACAUUAUCAUAUGUUACUUUGUGACUAUAUGGGCCUGAGGUCUUGCUAUAUGUGAUUCUGCACCGCCGGCUUCCUUCCUCUUAAUUUCAUCCAGAGGAGUCUUUCUGCGUCCUGAUAGUGGUGUCCUUUCUCUGGGGUGUGCAGGGUUGAUUAAACGCUGUGAUUGAAAAGUGGUUCUUAUACUCGUUGACUACAUAUACUUCGGCCCCUGAUGAAGGGUAAUCCGAAACGCGUAGGGCCGUGUAUGUCUUCAUGGACCUUGCUUUUCAAUGACACCUAACCAUGUAUUGUUUUUAAAUAAUUCUAUGUGAUAUAUGUGUACAAUUUCCAUUUUUGAAUAUUAAAUUAUCUAUUUUUUGGAUUA